rnacentral:rRNA from 1 species
AACGAACGCUGGCGGCAUGCCUAACACAUGCAAGUCGAACGAGACCUUCGGGUCUAGUGGCGCACGUGUGCGUAACGCGUUGGAACCUGCCCUUAGGUUCGGAAUAACUCCCCGAAAGGGGUUCUAAUACCGGAUAAUGUCUUCGGACCAAAGAUUUAUCGCCUUUGGAUGGGCCCGCGUUGGAUUAGCUAGUUGGUAGGGUAAAAGCCUACCAAGGCGACGAUCCAUAGCUGGUCUGAGAGGAUGAUCAGCCACACUGGGACUGAGACACGGCCCAGACUCCUACGGGAGGCAGCAGUGGGGAAUAUUGGACAAUGGGCGAAAGCCUGAUCCAGCAAUGCCGCGUGAGUGAUGAAGGCCUUAGGGUUGUAAAGCUCUUUUACCCGGGAUGAUAAUGACAGUACCGGGAGAAUAAGCUCCGGCUAACUCCGUG